rnacentral:rRNA from 1 species
GACGAACGCUGGCGGCGUGCUUAACACAUGCAAGUCGAACGGAAAGGCCCUGCUUUUGUGGGGUGCUCGAGUGGCGAACGGGUGAGUAACACGUGAGUAACCUGCCCUUGACUUUGGGAUAACUUCAGGAAACUGGGGCUAAUACCGGAUAGGAGCUCCUGCUGCAUGGUGGGGGUUGGAAAGUUUCGGCGGUUGGGGAUGGACUCGCGGCUUAUCAGCUUGUUGGUGGGGUAGUGGCUUACCAAGGCUUUGACGGGUAGCCGGCCUGAGAGGGUGACCGGCCACAUUGGGACUGAGAUACGGCUCCGACUCCUACGGGAGGCAGCAGUGGGGAAUCUUGCACAAUGGGCGGAAGCCUGAUGCAGCAACGCCGCGUGCUGGAUGACGGCCUUCGGGUUGUACACCGCUUUCGCCUGUGACGAAGCGUGAGUGACGGUAAUGGGUAAAGAAGCACCGGCUAACUACGUG